CUGCCACUACAUCCUGCCGCCACCAUGUCCCGACUAUGUCCACUAGGGAGUUGGCAGCCUUAGUGAUGAUGCCAGCAGGCUGACAGCCGACAGAAAGAUUCAGGUUGCCUCGAAAUUUUACCCAAGCCAUGCCGCACACUCGGGCCAGGCCUCUUGCGAACGACGUAUAACCAGGCUCAAUGCAUCAGGGUCGAGGGAGUCCGGAGAUCAAGGCAACCUGCUGUGCAACCAGCGUACAACCUUUGGUGACCCCUCUACAUGUGCUACCUAUUUCACAGCUGUGCCUCACCUACCAUCUAUCCAAACAGCAUCACCGGCUGUGAUCACUUAUCGAACCAUGGAUGAAUGUUGGGGUGGAGUGAUUUGAACAGACAUUCUAUUUGUCUCUUCAAAUUCUUUAUCAAUUUUCAACUGACGCUAACACGCACAAGUUGUGGGGGAAAAGUGCCAACAAGAGUACCAUAAGGUAAGACAGCUGUUCUUACUGUUAGAUUGGAUUAUCAAUUGCCAACCAGUUGUUUUCAGCAAGCAUAGUAUAACGCAUAGAUUAUGUAAUUUAAGUUGGAAUAUUGUUUUUAUUGCACUUGAUUAUCUGGGUCUCCUUUGUACAUAAGUGCGGCCU